rnacentral:lncRNA from 1 species
GCCGCCAAGGGAACAUGUGUUCCAUGGGCCACCCGGAGGGAACAUGUGUACACAUGUGUGCAUGCCUGUGUGUGCACGUGUGCCUGUGUGUGCAUGCGUGCAUGUGUAUGCAUGUGCACGAGUGUGUGCAUGUAUGAGUUUGUAUUUGUGUAUAUAUGUUCUCGUGUGUGUGUAUGUAUCUGUGCAUGCAUGCAUAGAUGUGUGUGUGCACAUAUCAAGGCAACUUCAGACAAAGAAACCAAGAGUGGGUCCCAGGGGGUUAGUUUCUGGGGCUGGGGACAGGGUUGGGGGAGAGGAUGACAAGGAGGAUGCAGCUGGGGGUGGGGAGAGAAUAUACUACAAAAAGAAAUCAAGAGUGGUUCUGGCAUUUAAUUUCUAAUCUCAUCUCACUAGAAAACUUGUAAAAUCCUCAACCAGAAGUGCUAAAGAGAAACGUCUCUGCCUGGUUCUUCUACAUUUGUGGAAAGUCUCCCUCUCUGGAAAACAGUCACCACUUUCUGCUUUCACUGGGGACUACAUUUGGAAGGCUGGAGAGAAGAGCUGAAAGCCAACAGGAGGUCUUGCUGGUGAUGUGGAGUGGGUUCCAUCUGUGGCCCAUGCACCCCAAAGCCUCUCCAGCCACCUCAAUCUCCUGGCCCUCUGCAGUUUCUCUAAAACGUGGCAAGCUCUGGACCACACACAAGCCCAACAGCCAGGACUCCCUGCUGAGCAGCCAUUCCCCAACUGGAAGGGCUACCAUGCCAGGCAAUUCCGAGAGACGCCUUUUAGGCAGAAUUCACGAGAAUCUGUUCUCGCCCCAGCACAGCUGUGCACGGUGCCUGCUGCGUGGGUACCACACCCAGGGACCACCUUCCCAGGCCCUCUCACUGUAUUUUCACCACCCUGCCCUCCCUUCUGCAGCCAUCUACACACACUGCUGUUGUCUUCUGCAGAGGAAUAAGCAUGCCUCAGUCCCCAUCCCAGCAAGAGCAGGAGGCAUGGCAGAGGUGGCACCAGAGAGCACAUCCCCUGUGGCCUGGGACGGACCAUUCCACAGUCACCCCACUGGAGUCUGCACAGAUGGCUCCUCCCUGCCCUUCAUGGGAAGGGACGGAGCUGAGGGCACAGAGACCAGCAACCAACAGACCCCCGACUCAGGGCGGUGACCCAGGGCCAGGAGGGAGGCAGAGGGUCUCCAAGGCCAAGAGGGCUGGGGGCACAGGUCAGCUUCAGGGUCCAUCCCAGGGGCUGGUACUAGGAGAGGGUGGAGAGCACCCUGCGUGAGGGCUGGGGGUCCCUGCUGCUGGCGGCUCCCCUGCUGCCUCACAGCUAAGGGUCUAUGUCACAGUCAGGGACAGAGCGCCAAGAAACACCCCUGGCCAAACUGGGAAUGGAGCUAAGUAAACCCAGGGAUUUAAAUAACUGGGAUUUUUAAAGGCUAGGCACAAAACAGGGGUUUGUGACAAUGUGCAGAGCCCUCCAUCUAGAGGAAACAUUUCUUAUGUGCCUGACACCAGCUCCAUCUCACUUGGGCCCGGGGCCCUUUAGCAAGGGUUCCUGCUGCCACACCCCCUGCCAUGGGGCCACCAGAUGGAAAAAUAACUGAAUAUUUCCAUAGAGAGCUUUCAAACCAAACAUGCAAACUCACAAGGCCAAAAUGCAUGGCCAAGAAGAAAACGCAGAGGUUUGCUGCAAAGGAGCCCACCGUGUUGGGGGAGGCUUUGCCUGGCAUUUCUUGGGUGGGUAUUUCAAACAGGGAGAGUAAAGCUGCUCUCCUGCAGGUCCCUUAAUGUCACCCUCUGCGUCUCCUUUUACCUAUUUGCCACUAAGCAGCAAGCCACUGAACCAUUCCACUCCCCAGUUUCCUCCCCAAAAUAAGAUCUUAUUUCCCAGAGGGAGCAGCGUACGGACUGAGUGAGCCCUGCAUCCAGCAGGUCUUCCCCUAAACAUUGUAGAGCCCUCCGUGCCCCCAGGUAAUUCCUGACACCCAGAAAGGACGGGGCCGCCUGUUGAGAACUGUCUCAGGGGGUCUCAGAUUCUCGCUGAAUUGAAUUCUAAGCAUUUUAUUUGAAUCAAAAUAUAUCACAUUGCAUACAUUAAUGUUUACUUCAUCUUAUGCAUUUGGAGUUAGAGCCUCUCUAAUCACCUAUGCGAAACUAAGUAAGCAAGGUGUAAAUCUGGAUCCGAAAUUAGAUGAAAAAAUUCCAUCCUGUUCAGCUUAUCAAAUUUCAAGUAUUUCAUUAACUUGAUCAUUAGAUGCUGGCUGAUCAGAAAGUCCCAAGAUUUCUAACUACUGUAAUCUAAAUGGUAUAGGCGUUUCUAAAAUAUCCACACUGAAAAAAAGCUCCUUUGCUCAUCCCAAAUCCAUUUCAUCUGAUUGAAUGAUUUUCUCAUUUCCACAGAGAGCUGUUAAACCAGCCAAGCAAACUAUCAAAGCUCCGCAGGCCCAGGAGGAGGAAGAAAUUAGACGACAUUUGGAUAAGUCAGUUCUUAGCAAAGUAGUAGUGCACCUAAUUAAGUGAAUGCAGCGCAUGGGGUUUCUGUGAACCAAGUCCUAUUUCCUCUGAGAGUUGUCUAACUGGUAAUCCAGUCAUUGAAGGAGAUCGUUUCGAAAGUCUCCCAAGUCCUACUCCCGGUCCAUGCAACUGUCCCUCCUCCCAAAUUAUCCACAAGACUCUGAUCAAAUACUUCCCUCUUUGGAGAAUUCUAAUUUUUGGAAAGUUCUUUCUCAUCUCAAGUUGAAAUCUGCUUUCCUGUGACUUCUACCCCACCCUUUCCCGGGUCCUUCCCUGGAGCACCAAGGAGUGAAUCUCUACUCUUGCUGGUAGCAACCUGGUGACAAUUCGGGACUUUUUUUCAGCCUUUUCAGUAUUCUCUUUUCCUCUGUUCCUCCAAAGUUUCUCCCAGGCAUGCAGAAAGACCCUUUUCCUCAUUGAACCCCUGCCUACGUCCAUCCAAUGAUCAAGGUCUCUCCAACAAAGGAAAAUCUGAACGCCAUCCUCUUAAUGGAGACUGACACUGCAUUUCCCAAAAUGUGUUCCCAGGAACACCAGCCCUGUGCAAUGUCACCCACACCAAUCCAAAGGGUGCUCUGGGCAAGUAAAUGUGGACAAUGCAAACCUUGUCCUUACAGAGUCACAAACCAAGGAAGCAUAUUACAGCCCUGAGCAGGGCCAGGUAUGGUGGCUCACACCUGUAAUUCCAGCACUUUGGGAGGCCAAAGUGGGAGGAUCAUUUGAGGCCAGGAGUUUGCCACCAGACUGGGCAACAUAGCAAGACUCCAUCUCUAAAAAUAUUGUUUUUAAUGAGCUGUGCAUGGUGGCAUGCACCUAUAGUCCCAGCUACAGGAGAAUCACUUGAGCCCAGGAGGUCGCGGCUGCAGUGGGCUAUGAUUGCAUCACUGCACUCCAGCCUAGGCAGACUUGGUGGCAUCGCAAGACCCUAUCUCAAAAAAAAAAAAAAAAGCUGUGAGCAUUCUUGGAGAAACUGAUUAACAGUGUUUAAGCCAAGAUUCCAUAAUCGCAUUUGACUCUAAAACUCUUUAUUUCCCCCACAUAACACACUUAGGGAAAGGAUGGUUAUUUUCACUCUGACCGAGCUUUGAACACUUCACUAUAUUUCUCUACCCCACUCUCUCACCCCCACUCUCUCUACCCCAUUCUCCACUCCUAGCCUCCUGGUGCCCAGGAACUAACACCAUCAAAACAAAGAACUUUAAUGCAAUAGCUCUCAGUAUUUAGUGAAUUCCUUCUUAAAGCAAAGCAUCCUUUUGGGAUAGAAUUAAUCAAUUCCCUAAUUUUCUGGCUUUGUAAAUGUGAACGUUAGUAUAUUAAGUAUUCACCCCUUCAAUAAGAUCUGUAAUACAAUUCAAUGCUACCACCUACCGCAAGGACAUUUUUCAGGUAAUUGAUGUUUGUCAUUAAAUUCACUGACAAAUAUGAAAGGCAAGGAGAAAACUAGAAACAUUUUGGACACUUUUUAUCAUGCAUGUAUAACUAAAUCUAUUCAGUUAAAGCUUUUUUUUGCCUUCCACAAACGUUUUUAUCUAUAAUAUUUUUCAUAUGCACUUGGGAGCUAAUUACUGAAAGAAACCUCAUGGUGAAGGUUUUGCAAA